rnacentral:tRNA from 1 species
ACUGGAAAGUGUUUCUAGAAAGAUCAAAUUAGAGCUUGUGAAAGUAUUUCAUUUACAUUGAAAAGA